UUAGCACUAUAGAAACAAACAGAC
rnacentral:miRNA from 1 species